ACAUCAAAAUCAGCAGAGCAGCAUUUGGUGGUAUAGAUGGUUCCACUUUAAAUUACUCCUCUAGACUCUGAGUAUGGUUGACUUAAAUAUAGUCAAGUGACAAUUUAACUAUUAUUUGCCAAAUAUAAUUAAUUACUUGUGCAUUUACAUAUGAAAUAUAAUUUCCUUCUAUGGCCCAAAGGAUAUACUCGGUGGGAAAAGGUCAAAUUGGUUUCCACUAAAACCCCGUUCUCAAGUGCCUGUCUACAUUGAGAAUGAGCAGUCCCAGUCAAUCAUUUGUGACUACAUCAGAGGAAUUCUUAAUAAAACCAAAACACAGCUGACCUUCAAUGAUGAGGUGGAGUUCAUUUGUGGAUUUCUUCUCCCAGAGGCCAUAACUCAUGGCAUUUCCGAGUUACAAGGCUUGUCUUGGCAGGAGGCUGAAGAUGUCUUCCUCCAGGGCCCCAUUUAUCACGCAAGUGAAGUUGAGGAAUUUAACA